rnacentral:rRNA from 1 species
GAUGAACGCUAGCGGCAGGCCUAACUCAUGCAAGUCGAGGGGUAACAUUGGAGCUUGCUCCAGAUGACGACCGGCGCACGGGUGCGUAACGCGUAUACAAUCUACCUUUUGCUGAGGGAUAGCCCAGAGAAAUUUGGAUUAACACCUCAUAGUAUGUAGACUUCUCAUGAAGAUUACAUUAAAGGUUACGGCAAAAGAUGAGUAUGCGUCCUAUUAGUUAGUUGGUGUGGUAACGGCACACCAAGACUACGAUAGGUAGGGGCCCUGAGAGGGGGAUCCCCCACACUGGUACUGAGACACGGACCAG